AUGAUGAGAUAUUGCCUUCAAUGCCUGUUGUUUCUGCAUAUCAGCCUUCCUUUCAAUACACCCCCUACAUAUUUGCCUUUUUUACUCCUACCCUUCAGGUUGCUGUUUUUACUGGCUUUGGUUUUCUCUAAUUUCCCUGAAUUCCAGGUGGGGGAGGAAGCUAUUGUUUUCGAACAUCCUGGUCCUGCUCCUCAUUUAUUAAUCACUAAUUCCAACUUGGCAGAAAGUAUAGACCAAAAGGUGCACGAGUCAAGUAUGUCACAUGCUUUUCCUGUCCAGGUAUUCCGGUGGUGCAACUACCCGGGGAGCGGGCCAACCCUGUCAUUUAGCAGUAAAUUUAUCCUGUGUUGGGAUAGAGAAACUGUGGGGAUAAAGGCAGCAGACCUAUCCCAUGACUAGGCUGGCGGAGGGGGGUGGAAAGCCUACCCCACAGCUGGGACAGGCCAGUCUCAGGUUCAGCCUGCUGUGAUGGAGCAGAUAAUAUGCCUCCAGAGGAACCAUCUGGAAAACUGAGCCACCACUCUCCUGUUGCUGCCCCAACGUAAAUUCUCAUGCACCUGUCUGGGUACCAGACGUCUUUCUCGCUGUUUUUUUUUUCCUCUCAAUAAUGGGGCAUGUUGUCACAAUUAUUGCCAGUAAUAAACUCAACUGAAUUUAAUAAACUCAACUGAAUAUGUGUGUGUGUGUGUAUUAAAGAGGAUAAAUGCAGAUUUUUUUUUUUAAAGCAAAUCUGCAUUUAUCCUCUUUUUAAACUUCCUUCAUAAUAAACCUGACAUUAUAUACUACAAACAUUGUUGGCUCUUUAAUUAAUUGAUUUUGUUGCUGUUUUUUAAGGUGUUCUGAAGUGUCUGCUAAGAUAUUUUGAAGAUAUUUUUUAGUCCAUAGUAUCAUUAAGACAAUGAGAUAAUACUGUUUUGCCCCAAUGACCAAAAUACCCUUAUCCUGAGAAUAUACGCAAGUCCUGCCUUUCUAGGAUUUAAAGUAUCCUUAACAUAUCUUAGUGUUAAUUUACUUAAACAAAGCCACUGUUAUAGAACUCAAAACCUUUGACUCAAAACCUUACUGUAAUCCAGCUUCCCAAUGAGACAACCAGCCUCCUCUAAAUAGACACAUUUGUACUGACAAACCAGUAGCAAGUGAGACAGUAGCUAAAUUAUAUAAACACUGCAAAAUAAUCUCCCUCUGUUUGUUUUUCACUACCACAGGUGAAUGCUCACUGAGAUAAAUAAAUAAAAUAAAAAAAAUACUCACACAUACAAAAAGUGGGUGCUAUUGGUAUUUGCUGAUCAUACCUCAGCAGACCAGCUUCUUGGUCUGUGAAGAAAUGUCAACCUCUCAUCAUCACGCUAUAUGGACACAGCAGGUGUCAGUGAUGAUAGUUUCACUGUGACAGCUGUGUCUAAAGGGUCCAGAGCUUAGACAUCAUAAUUAUAGGCAUGUAGACACACACAGAGUCUACCCAUACUUUUCAGGCUCAUGUCCCAAUACAGAAAUUACCUAAUUAUCUUAUUCCUGCAUUGAUGUGUGAUUGUAUUAAUGAGACGUGGAGUAGAUCAAGGUUCAUGACUGUCUUUUAACGUCUGUUAUGAUGGAAUGAACUACUCAACCAAUGAAGCAUUGCAAAUGAUGUAAUUGAAUCAGCAACAACAGUAUAAUAUAAAACUAGAGACUGUAAGUAAUUAUAGCCUAAAAUACAAUGUAUUUAAAAUUUAUUGCAAAAUAUUAAAAUAUGUACAAAUAUAGUUUAUUUUGCUCCAAAGGCUGCAUUUAACUGAUCAAAAAUAACUGUUCUCUGGACUUUUGUAAUACAUUUUUUGUUUCCUGUUUAACAGCAACUUUUUGCUUCUGAUUGAUGGAUUCCACUUUAGAAUGCUGGACUGUGUAAUUCGUUAUGCAAAGUUCAGAAAAUUCAUUAAAGGGUUAGUUCACCCAAAAAUGUAAAUUCUGUCAUUAAUUAUUCACCCUCAUGUCGUUCCAAACCCGUAAGACCUUCGUUCAUUUUCAAAACUCAAAUUAAGAUAUUUUUAGAUGAAAUCCAAAAGCUUUAUGACCCUGCAUAGGCACAUGCAUUAUGGUACUCUUGUUAAUGGCAGCAGACACUGACAGGAACAGAAGUUGUUGGAUAAAGUCCUUAUUUUUGUUUUCUUUGCACACAAAAACUAUUCUUG
ensembl:lncRNA